rnacentral:rRNA from 1 species
UUAAAAAGCUCGUAGUUGGAUCUAGGGACGCGCAUUUCAAGCGCCCGUGUCGUCGGGUCAAACCGGCGACUGCGUUGGCGUUGCGGGCUCGGUCCGUCGGUGCUCACAAAAGCAUCGGCGUGUCAACCGGCCCGCCCGUCCCCUCCUUCUGGAUUCCCGUUCCUGCUAUUGAGUUAGUGGGGACGUCACAGGGGGCUCAUCGUCGUGUCCAUGCAAAUGGCACGGCGGUGGGUCCCUGGGGCCCAGAUCGUUUACCGUGAAAAAAUUAGAGUGUUCAAAGCAGGCAGAUCCAAUUUUCUGCCACCGAAUACAUUAGCAUGGGAUAAUGGAAUAGGACCCUGUCCUCCUAUUUUCAGUUGGUUUUGGCAGCGCGAGGACUAGGGUAAUGAUUAAUAGGGAUAGUUGGGGGCAUUAAUAUUUAAUUGUCAGAGGUGAAAUUCUUGGAUUUAUGAAAGAUUAACUUCUGCGAAAGCAUCUGCCAAGGAUGUUUUCAUUAAUCAAGAACGAAAGUUAGGGGAUCGAAGACGAUCAGAUACCGUCGUAGUCUUAACCAUAAACGAUGCCGACCAGCGAUUAGGAGACGUUGAAUACAAAACACCACCAUCGGCGCGGUCGUCCUUGGCGUGUCUCGGCUUCACGGCUGGCGCGCGAGGGCGGUUUAGCCCGGUGGCACCGGUGAAUGACUCCCCUAGCAGCUUGUGAGAAAUCAUAAGUCUUUGGGUUCCGGGGGGAGUAUGGUCGCAAGGCUGAAAC